UAUUCCCCGGAAGCCUAACAGUUGAGCUGUCAGAUUUCCCGAAGAACUGAUCAAACCGGCUACGGACCCUUUAGACCCAAUAAAAGUGAUUACCACUCGGGCCGCCGGUGUUACCGCGGCGGCUGGCACCGGUCUUGCCCGGCCCUUGCUAACACAUGCCGUUUACACAUGUGGACAGCCAACAUAAAUGCUGGCACUCGGUGUCCCCUUAUCGCGGUUUCCCGCAUUGUAAAGAUUUCGCGCCUGCUGCGCCCCGUAGGGCCCCCCGUGCCCCCGCCCCGCCCGCCGCGCGCGGC
rnacentral:rRNA from 1 species